rnacentral:lncRNA from 1 species
AUGGAUCAAUCUGCGGACGGAAAUACAGAGAGCAAACAGAAUGCUGCGAAACCGCUUUAUCAGCGUUAUUUGGUGUCUUUUCCAGCCAUAGUGUGUUUAGUGUUGUCGCUGAGUUCAAUAGCGGUGUGUUUUCUCAUGACUUUCAAAACGCAUCGUCUGGAGAGCAGGCUGCGCGAGCUGGAGAUAAAGAUGAUUGACAUCUGUCAAGAAUCAUCCAAGGACGUCUCUGUUCCACUGGAAACGCGGAAAUCCAUCGAAACACUCUUACAGGAGAGACUGAAUGAAGCGAUACCGAAGUUGCGUGUGGUGAGAGAUGUGACACAGGACUGCAACUGUCCUCCAGGUCCUCCGGGGAAACGUGGUCGGAUGGGCAGAACCGGCGACCCUGGGUCCACUCGGUCUGGAUGGCAAACCUGUGAGUAUUCCAGAGCUUUAAAGAGACAAGAUGAGACUUUGUGUGUGUUUGUGUGUGUGUGUGUGUGUAUGUGUGUGUAUUAA